rnacentral:snRNA from 1 species
GAGCGACACCAAGGGUGGUGUCGA